rnacentral:rRNA from 1 species
GACGAACGCUGGCGGCGUGCCUAAUACAUGCAGGUAGAACGCUGAAGGAGGAGCUUGCUCUUCUGGAUGAGUUGCGAACGGGUGAGUAACGCGUAGGUAACCUGCCUGGUAGCGGGGGAUAACUAUUGGAAACGAUAGCUAAUACCGCAUAACAGUAGAUGUUGCAUGACAUUUACUUAAAAGGUGCAAUUGCAUCACUACCAGAUGGACCUGCGUUGUAUUAGCUAGUUGGUGGGGUAACGGCUCACCAAGGCGACGAUACAUAGCCGACCUGAGAGGGGGAUCGGCCACACUGGGACUGAGACACGGCCCAGACUCCUACGGGAGGCAGCAGUAGGGAAUCUUCGGCAAUGGACGGAAGUCUGACCGAGCAACGCCGCGUGAGUGAAGAAGGUUUUCGGAUCGUAAAGCUCUGUUGUAAGAGAAGAACGAGUGUGAGAGUGGAAAGUUCACACUGUGACGGUAUCUUACCAGAAAGGGACGGCUAACUACGUG